GCUUGAGGUCAGAAGAUUCACACUCCUGCGAAGGCUUGCAUUCUGAUGAGGAACAACACCGGGGAACAGAAAAUGAACAUCUGCUGGUGGCCUGCUUCUUAGAUGCUGAAGACUGAGCAGAACACAAUUCUUCAUCCUUUCUUGAGAUGAAUUAGCAGGACAAGGAGCCUUUUCCUUCAAGACAACCUUCGGAAUGGCCAAAUUCUUAGUAUCAUCAGUGUUAUCAAGAACAACUUCAACUGUUCCACUUGAAUUUGAAGCUCUUGCGGCUGCUUCCACCUCCCACAUCUUGAAUAUAGCUUUCGCUAGAUGCUCUCUAGCAAAAAUCUAUAUCAAUUAUAGGCUCUGGAUAGUUUACUCCCAAUUCCACCACAGCAACUUUAAGCGCAGUAAUGGGUGCAUCCCCAGGAUGAUGGAUCCAUUCAGUUGGCAUUCUUGUUAGCUCAGGCAGCCAGUGGCCCAGUGCCGAACGUAUUCACCCUCUGGGUCAAAUUUGGAGCCUUGAAUCUGACUCACAUGACGCAGAAAAAUAAGUCAUGAAAAUAGGGCACUUGCAAUUGUACUUUUAAUUAAUACAUUUACCAUCUGCCACUAUAGUUUCACUAAAUUGCUAUAUUCUUAUAGAUAAUCAGGGAAACUCAGCACCAUGAAGGCCUAAAAGGAUAUUGUUUUUGUUUAAUUGCAUGGUAUUAGAUGCUGCUCCAUUUCAAAACAUGGAAGGGAUGUCUUUCAUGCAUGCAGGCCAGUUUCCAUUGGUAUGUGGAUCAUCUAAUUAUUAGCCAAAAUAGAAGAGGACUGAGAUCAUGUACAUCCCAAAA